AAUAGAUACCCUGGUAGUCCACGCAGUAAACGAUGCAUACUAGGUGUGGGGGGGUAUCGAGCCCCUCCGUGCCGCAGCCAACGCAAUAAGUAUGCCGCCUGGGGAGUACGGCCGCAAGGUUAAAACUCAAAGGAAUUGACGGGGGGCCCGCACAAGCAGCGGAGCGUGUGGUUUAAUUCGAUGCAACGCGAAGAACCUUACCUAGGCUUGACAUGACGGUGUAAGCCGGGGAAACCCGGCCCCUCUUCGGAGCACCGCCACAGAUGUUGCAUGGCUGUCGUCAGCUCGUGUCGUGAGAUGUUGGGUUAAGUCCCGCAACGAGCGCAACCCUCGUGGUCUGUUGAAGUUUUCAGACCAGACUGCCUACAAAAUAGGAGGAAGGUGGGGAUGACGUCAAGUCCGCAUGGCUCUUACGUCUAGGGCUACACACACGCUACAAUGGCCGGGACAAUGCGCAGCCACAGGGCAACCUGGAGCGAAUCGCCAAACCCGGUCUCAGUUCGGAUGGUAGGCUGCAACUCGCCUG
rnacentral:rRNA from 1 species